GCCAGGUAUGGUGGCGCACGCCUGUAGUCCCAGCUACUCGGGAGGCUGAGGUGGGAGAAUCGCUCGAACCCAGGAUGAGGAGGUUGCAGUGAGCCAAGAUCGCACCACUGCACUCCAGCCUGGGUGACAGAGUGAGACUCCAUCUCAA
ensembl:misc_RNA Metazoa_SRP Metazoan signal recognition particle RNA